rnacentral:lncRNA from 1 species
GCAGCUGUGGUUCAGGGGAGAGGCCCAGGAUAGAGCUAUGCAUUUGAGCCCAUGGACCCCAAGAGUGGAUGGACCCCAAGAUCUAGGAGACCAAGCCUAAAGGAGAAAACAACAGUCAGGAACAGCACUGGAAGCCAACAGGCCAGAUGGAGUUAGUCCUGAAGUCAAACUUUCAGAAAGAAAAAUGUCUUAGUCUUCAAGUCUAUGCAUCCUGGGCUCUGUCCCUAAGAGGAAGCCAGACCUUUCUGCUCACCAACUCGUCCCCCUGCACCUUCCUGAUUGAAGCCACAUUCCACGUCAUGCCUGUACAUCUUCCCCUCGCCCUUCAGACCCAGCCCUUUUUUCAAAAUGGUCACAGGGUUCAACUCAGCCUAACUGGACACAGGCCUGGUCCCUGCAGCAUCGAAGAAGCCAGGGGUAGCAUCUUUGGCCAAGUCACCCACUGACCCCCACGGCCUGGCAACUUUUGUGCUUCCCACCUGCAUGUCACCUCUGGGGGUCCCUUCCCUCCAAGAACGUUGCCAUCAGGUGGUCUUUCUGAUUUCCUCUGCUUCAGCAAAGGCCUUAUUUUUUACUCAAGAGCCUGGCUUCCUGAUCUGCACAAAAGAGACUCUCCAGAUGUGUCCUGGAAAAUCCCCCAAAAGUAGGGGGAAAGGUCCCAGUCAAAGCCAAAGCAAGGAAGAGGAAAAAGAGGAAGGAGGAAACUGUCAUGGGAUAAGAUUUUGUCACAUAUCUGUAAUUAAAGGUCCUCUUAUAUGUGCAUACACAAACACACGCACGUAUACGCAUAACACGGUUAACAAAUAUUAAGAUCUUAACAGUGGCCUUCUCUAGGAAAGAUGGGAUUAUGGGUGACUUUGAUUCGCCUCUAUCCUAGCUCUCCUCUUACUAGCUGUGUGAUUUAGAGCAGGUUAGCUAGCCUCUCAGUUACUCAGUUUCUUCACCUGUAAAAUGGGGCCAUCAUUCUUCUCAGUGUACUAUAUUGUGAAGAUUAAAUGAGAUUAUACAUAUCAAGAUCUCAGAACAGUGCCAGGCACACGUAGUAGAGGUUGAGCAUUCUUAAUCUGAAAACCAAAAAUCUGAAAUGCUCCAAAGUCCAAAACUUUUUGAAUGCCAACAUGACACCACAAGUAGGAAAUUCUACACCUGACCCCAUGUGAUGGGUCGCAGUCAAAAGACCAUCAAAACUUUGUUUUGUGAACAAAAUUAUUAAUAAUAUUGUAUAAAAUUACCUUCAGGCUACACAUGUAAGAUGUAUAUGAAACAUUAAUAAAUUUUGUGUUUAGACUUGGGCCCCAACCCCAAGAUAUGUCAUCAUGCAUAUGCAUAUAUUCCAAAAUAAAAAAAAAUCCAAAAUCCAAAACACUUCUGGUCCCAGGAUUUAGGAUAAGGAAUAUGCAACUUGUAACAGAAUCAACAAAUACAACAACUAUAAUUAUUUCUCCCUGUCUCCUUAGCCUUUUGCAAAGGGUAUGCAUUGCUUUG